rnacentral:sRNA from 1 species
UAAGAUUCUGAGGGAAUGUUUAUCUAAGUUCUAACCUAUGUAAUUCGUUUAGAAUAAAACACUUGCACUAUCACGUUUUGCAUUACGCUGUCUCUAUUUACAUCGAAGCAGCAUGGCCGGGGGCCAGGCGUAAACCUUGAAGUGUUCAAAUCGCAACUUCACCUUCGUUUGGCACGCGACAUGAUCCUUUUAUUCGCAGUUCUUAUUUGUGUGUAGAGAGACACAGUAUAGGCAGGGCCUGCCUCCACCCAAUUAUAGUCACCAUUAGUACGCAGCCAGCGUAAAAUAUAAUAGAAACCAUCUCCGAGCUAAUAAAGAUGACACAACGGUCACCCAGGAAAAGCCCACGCUUAAAUGAUGGCCAGGAGAUAGCUACCACUGCGAGUGGGACGCAGCUAAAGCAGACAAGUAGAAUGGUGAGCACUGUACCACAAAUGCAAAUUCCCGUUGUUAGCCCUAAAGCCCCAGCACCGUGGAUGUGGACACAAGUGUACAACCUGCCGGCACUAUGGACGCGGGAGUGAGUGCACGAGCCAGCACAUUGGCAGGAACGCCAAGCCCAAGCACGCAACUCUCAAGUACGCAAGUCAGGGACUUGAUAAAGAGAGUCGCUGCGCUAGAGGACGAGUUGCAGAGGUCAAAAACUGGUGAAGCACAUCUUUGAGCGGAGAGCCACCGUCGGGUGGAAGUUUGAGUGAAACUGCAACUAUGAGUGUAGUCCCAAAUUCAAGAGUAAGUUUGAGUGAGACUACAUAUUUGAAUGGAACUGCCAUUUUGAGCAGAUCGCCAUCUUUGUUUGAGGCACUGCCUAUUGCCCCAUUUCACAGCCAACGCUCAGCUACACUCCGGCACAGGAGAACCAACAAGCGAUAAUUUUGGAGCCAAUGCAGGCAACUGGGAACUACGAAAACAACUUUGGCGUACAACUUGUGAGGCGGCUAAUGAGACCAGCCAC